UGCGUUGCCUAGCAACAAGCUAGCGGGACGCCAGACGCGCGUGCAUACGUCAUGCGCCAGACAAGCCGCAGGAGUGAGCAAGGCCGGCUGCGCAUGUGAAGCUGGCGUGCUCGCCGACCCGUCUCCUUUGGAUGUAGCCCGUUUUUUGGGCUCCCGGCGUUCUCUUGUGUUCCAUCCGCAUUUCGACACGGCACCGCUGCACUACUGGACUACAGCAAGUUGAUGGCAUCCGGUGGAGCAUCGUACGGCAACGACUGCUGCUUACCUGGUGCCACAACUUUGAAUGAAUGCAGAAGAAACCCGCAACGAGCAUUUAUAUAGAGCAAAAAUAAACAUUUCAUCAUUUCAGAA
rnacentral:lncRNA from 1 species